ACACGUUAAGCGCCCAGCCUGUUUUGUCUUCUGGACGAAAAGUAUAGUGUCAGUUACUGGUGACUGACAGGGCACUUAAUGUGUACCAGUACAUGCCCUU